rnacentral:rRNA from 1 species
UACGCAGGGUGCGAGCGUUAAUCGGAAUUACUGGGCGUAAAGCGUGCGCAGGCGGUUCGUUGUGUCGGCGGUGAAAGCCCCGGGCUCAACCUGGGAAUGGCCGUUGAAACUGGCGAACUGGAGUGUGGCAGAGGGGGGUGGAAUUCCGCGUGUAGCAGUGAAAUGCGUAGAGAUGCGGAGGAACACCGAUGGCGAAGGCAGCCCCCUGGGCUAACACUGACGCUCAGGCACGAAAGCGUGGGGAGCAAACAGA